rnacentral:rRNA from 1 species
UGCGUAGGCGGGCUAAUAAGUCAGUGGUGAAAUCUCUCGGCUCAACCGGGAAACUGCCAUUGAUACUGUUAGUCUUGAGUUGGGUUGAGGUAGGCGGAAUGUGUAAUGUAGCGGUGAAAUGCUUAGAUAUUACACAGAACACCAAUUGCGUAGGCAGCUUACUAGACCGACACUGACGCUGAGGCACGAAAGCGUGGGGAGCGAACAGGAUUAGAUACCCUGGUAGUCC